UAACUUAACUAAUUGAAACCUGAACUAUGACUCCUGAAUUCAGCAGGUUCCAACCACAUUAUGGAUAAUACAGCCAUGUGUCAAUGCAGCCUUUGAUCAACCGACACUAACUGGUGACCUGGGAGUUGGAUGUGCUGCUGUCCUGUUCCUUGUCAGUGACUUGGUCUAUCUCCCCCCCCCGAUAGACCAUGUCACUGACAACUUCAGCAUUAAUCUAGCUCUGAAGUAUUUUGGAGGUGGGGCACAACCAACGCCACCAACCCCAAGUGCCAGUGCUACAGCUGAUGUUCCAGCAGGUGAGGAGCACUUACCAGCACCUGAAUGCACUGAUCCUGCUGUUCCUUCCAUGUCUAAUUGAACCUCAGUGGAUGUGGCAGAAUUCUUUGUACUUAUUUGUGAGAGAUGGAAACUAGAGUCUGCGACUUGGACUCUAGUUGCACUUAAGUUGCAAAGAUAAAGACUUGUGACUUGACUUGGACUCGUGAACAGCUGACUUGAGACUUGACUGACUCAUGAUUUGUGAGACUCGAAAAAACGUAAGUCAAUCAUAUGACAUUCCCUGUUUACUACACCACAUGGCAGCAUCAUACACACAAAUACAAAUAUUUUAAAAAAAUGCAAAGUUACGGAUGACACACAGC
rnacentral:lncRNA from 1 species